rnacentral:rRNA from 1 species
GACGAACGCUGGCGGCGUGCUUAACACAUGCAAGUCGAGCGGUAAGGCCCUUUCGGGGGUACACGAGCGGCGAACGGGUGAGUAACACGUGGGUGACCUGCCCUCAGCUCUGGGAUAAGCCUGGGAAACCGGGUCUAAUACUGGAUAUGACUCCAUGACGCAUGUUGUGGGGUGGAAAGCCUUGUGCGGCUGAGGAUGGGCCCGCGGCCUAUCAGCUUGUUGGUGGGGUGANGGCCUACCAAGGCGACGACGGGUAGCCGGCCUGAGAGGGCGACCGGCCACACUGGGACUGAGACACGGGCCCAGACUCCUACGGGAGGCAGCAGUGGGGAAUCUUGCGCAAUGGGCGAAAGCCUGACGCAGCGACGCCGCGUGAGGGAUGACGGCC